GCGGGCAGCUGCGGAGCCAUCUGCUGCGCAGGCGGCGGCGCCCGCCCCAGUGUUUGUUUACAAACCAGACUGCGCGCGCGAGAGAAACAGCGCUCGGCUUCCAGGCGCGCCGUGGCCGCUGCCAGCCCGGGAGGAGGGGCGCCGGGGACCUGGGUGGGCGCCGCGUCCCAGGCCCGCGCGGGGGGCGCGGCCAGCACGUCUCCGGCCCGUCCGCCCGCCCACACCCCCACGCCUGCGCUCACCCCAAACCCGCCCGCGAAGGCUCGCCCUGCAGUUCGGCUCCCGCCCCAACCAGCGGCACCUACGACCCCAUCUGGAAGGCAGGCCGCGGGAACCCUCGUGUCUGUGUUAUUAAGGAUUACAGGGGGUAACGCACGCGGCGGCACUUACUACACAGAAGCUAUCGUCGUAUCGCCGUGGGUGAUUGGAUGAGCAUUUUACAAAAUGUCUCUCUAGUCCAGUUUCCCACCCAACUCAGGAAUCCCCUUUCAGACAGUCCCAGGUACAGACGAUGAGUCCUGGAUUAAAAUUCAUUAAGGGGAAAAAAAUCAUUUUGAAAAAAUCAUUCUGAUGCGAGUGCGUUUCAUGCAGCCGCAAGCCCCGGGGCAGGCUCAGAGCUUGGCGGGAGCGGGUACAGACAACGCUGAAUCACGUCGUGCCAACUCCACCCUUAAGCGCAGGUCUCCAGGGACCUGGCUGCCAUCCCAAAGAUACGGAAAAAGAGGCUCAAAGAGAAGAAACAACUGGACCAAGAUCUCUGAGCCAAGGUUUGGAGGCAGGACCAAAGCUGGAGUCCUGACUGCAAAUGGCCACCGAGGGGAGGGGUUGGAAAUGGCCCAACUCCCAGUUCCCGAUGGAAACAGUGGGGCUGUAUAGCCCCACGUUCAAACCGAGAAUGGCAAAGACUCUGCUGAGGCUAACGUGGACUAGGGCUAUACUUGGAGAGCCCUGUUUUUAAAAUUCUGAGCCAGUAAAAAUGUGAACAGACACUUGGACUAGGAGCCACCAUCUGACAAUUCCAUUUGGCAGAAGCACAGGGCCAUCGGGCCCACCCCCAAGUCUGCGUAGAUGCACAGAAGCCUCCCCCCAUUCUCCCCCGAUGCCAGCCCACAUAUUCAUUUGCUCAUUCAAUGCACAGUGAGAAACCGUGCCUGAAGAACUCCAAACCCCAAUCAGGGAGAUGGAAACACACAUCCCACACAAGGUUAGAGCUGGAAGGGCCCUGUCCAGGGUGCUAUAGGAGCACAGAGGAGGAAGAAGCAUUAAAAAUCGGGGGAGCAGGUGGCCCAAGGGCAGGUUGAGCCCAUUCAACUUUCUUGACCCAAAGGCGGAGGAGGGGGAGGGAGGCUGGGCAGAAGAGAGAAGACAGAGGAGAGUUGCUGGCUGGGAGAGCAAGGACUUCACUUGAGGCCCAUUAAAACAAGGCUGAGUCGGUGUGCAUGGGUCAGGCAAGGACACCGCCAGGAUUAGAUGCUGCUGCUCUUAGCUCCCCGGCCCGCAUCCCUUGGCCGUGCUCCCCCCUUCUGAGGAGCAGGCAGGAAUUGUAACGGGGUGAAACCAGGACAGCAGCAAGCUAACACACGCAGGGGAAAGCAAUCUGAAAACCCAGAAUUCCACGGGACAGACAGGCCAGGAUAACCAGCAUGCUGAGAGAAAACAGACCUGACAGUGGCCAGCAAGUCAGAUCCAAUCUGGAAGGGUGACAGGGCAGAAGAAGCUGCUUACACCUGGGCCAUCCUGCGUCCUCCAUAACUUGUGCCCAGGCUCGCCUGGCCAGGAUCUUCUCCCUGGAAAGGCACUCUGCCUGGUGUGUACGAGGUGCUUUCUCUGCGCUGAGGUAUGGGUUAUCUGGAGAAAUGCUCACUCAUGUACCCAGGAAAUCAGGGGAGUCCAGGCCAAAGAGUGGGGAGAAGCUUCAGGGUUUCUCAGGAGACCCAGGCGGUGAACAUGUGAUCUACAAGCCACAUGUUUGUGGGCAGAAUCACAUUUCCAGCUAGGCUGAUGCCUGGAUUUGUGUGUUCCUUCACUUAGCCCCACUCCCCCCACAACCCCCCAGUCAGAAACCCGUGUGCAGGCACCAAGACUCUGGCUUUCGGAGAUCAAGAGUCACGUCAUCCUCACUGCCUCUCCGCUCUGUAUCUGGUACAACAUAGGAUCCAGACAAAAUGGGGAUUGAAGACUAAUUAAAUGCACUAAAGGCAGAAAGCUUCUAUUUAAAGCAAUUUUGCUAAAUCCUUCAAAAGAGCAAAGAAUCCCACAGUAAUAAACACAAUUGCCCUCUCAUGA